UCCCUACACCAGGAGUGGAGACAAGGGAGACUCUAGUAACAUCGGUGUGAUAUCACGCCACCCCCUUUACUUCCCUUACCUGAAGAAACACCUGACGGAAACAGUGGUGGGGAAUACUUCCAUCACCUCAUACAGCCAGACACACAUGAUGCUGUCACACGUUAUGAGUUACCAGGGAUUCAUGCUCUCAACUUUGUCCUGCAAAGCUCUCUGGGAGGCGGUGGGGUGGCAUCGAUACGCUGUGACCCUCAGGGUAAAGCCUAUGGUCAGAUGCUGCUGGACCUCAAACUGACCGGCUUACCAGACCUCAAGUCUCUGGUCGACUGAGACGGGGAGAGAGAGAGAGAGACCGAGAGAGAGAGGACAAAUAUAUGAAGAAAUAUAGAGAUGUAUUGUUUUUCAAUGGAGAAUUCUCAUGAUAUAUCCUGGCUACAUACAGGAGUGGAAGAGAGGGCAUUAUCUCUGUGUGUGGAGAUAACUGCAUCUCAAAUGCACCCUAUUCCCUAUGUAGUGCACUACUUUAGACCAGAACCCUAUGCCACCCUAUGUAGUGCACUACUUUUGAUUCUCUGUAUCAUUAAACUAUGUGUCUAUCUUA